AUUGAACGCUGGCGGCAGGCCUAACACAUGCAAGUCGAACGGUAACAGGAAACAGCUUGCUGUUUCGCUGACGAGUGGCGGACGGGUGAGUAAUGUCUGGGAAACUGCCUGAUGGAGGGGGAUAACUACUGGAAACGGUAGCUAAUACCGCAUAACGUCGCAAGACCAAAGAGGGGGACCUUCGGGCCUCUUGCCAUCGGAUGUGCCCAGAUGGGAUUAGCUUGUUGGUGGGGUAACGGCUCACCAAGGCGACGAUCCUUAGCUGGUCUGAGAGGAUGACCAGCCACACUGGAACUGAGACACGGUCCAGACUCCUACGGGAGGCAGCAGUGGGGAAUAUUGCACAAUGGGCGCAAGCCUGAUGCAGCCAUGCCGCGUGUAUGAAGAAGGCCUUCGGGUUGUAAAGCACUUUCAGCGGGGAGGAAGGGAGUAAAGUUAAUACCUUUACUCAUUGACGUUACCCGCAGAAGAAGCACCGACUAACUCCGUGCCAGCCGCCGCCGUAA
rnacentral:rRNA from 1 species